GGGCGUAUGGCUCAGUCCGGCAGAGCACCGCCUUCACACGGCGGGGGUCACUGGUUCAAAUCCAGUUACGCCCACCA
rnacentral:tRNA from 1 species